GUCAGUGAGUGUCAUUAUUAACUAGUCUUUGAAUAUUGUUAUUGUUUAGUCUCUCUCGUGUUGCUAUGCUUCUUGCCAUUCCUGCCACAAAUCCUCUCUGUACUCUCUGCGUGCUUCGAGUACUUGUGAGUGUCAAUCGCCUCACCAGAAACCCAUUUGAGGCGGAAGGCAUUGUUCUGGGAUUUGAGACCACCGAAGUCACCUGCAUCGCUGGUAUUUGUGCAUGUGGUUGUGGCGGAGCGCAUGUAUUUGCCUUAUGUCUCAUUCUCUCUCUCU
rnacentral:misc_RNA from 1 species